rnacentral:rRNA from 1 species
UCCCUACGGGGUGCAGCAGGCGCGAAAACUUUACAAUGCGAGAAAUCGUGAUAAGGGAACCCCGAGUGCCCGUAAAUUCGGGCUGUCCAUCAGUGUAAAAAACUGGUGAAGAAAGGGCCGGGCAAGACCGGUGCCAGCCGCCGCGGUAAUACCGGCGGCUCGAGUGGUGGCCACUAUUACUGGGCUUAAAGCGUCCGUAGCUUGGUUGUUAAGUCUCCUGGGAAAUCCAUCGGCUCAACCGAUGGGCGUUCGGGGGAUACUGGCAACCUAGGGACCGGGAGAGGUGAGAGGUACUCCAGGGGUAGGAGUGAAAUCCUGUAAUCCUUGGGGGACCACCUGUGGCGAAGGCGUCUCACUAGAACGGCUCCGACAGUGAGGGACGAAAGCUGGGGGAGCAAACCGGAUUAGAUACCCGGGUAGUCCCAGCCGUAAACGAUGCGCGUUAGGUGUAUCGGUGACCACGAGUCACCGAGGUGCCGAAGGGAAACCGUGAAACGUGCCGCCUGGGAAGUACGGUCGCAAGGCUGAAACUUAAAGGAAUUGGUGGGGGAGCACCACAACAGGUGGAGCCUGCGGUUUAAUCGGACUCAACGCCGGGAAUCUCACCGGAUAAGACAGCGGGAUGAUAGCCGGGCUGAAGACUCUGCUUGACUAGCUGAGAGGAGGUGCAUGGCCGUCGUCAGUCGUACC